GUGGGGAAUCUUCCGCAAUGGACGAAAGUCUGACGGAGCAACGCCGCGUGAGUGAUGAAGGUCUUCGGAUUGUAAAGCUCUGUUAAUCGGGACGAAAGAGCCUAGUGUGAAUAAUGCUAGGAAGUGACGGUACCGGAAUAGAAAGCCACGGCUAACUACGUGCCAGCAGCCGCGGUAAUACGUAGGUGGCAAGCGUUGUCCGGAAUUAUUGGGCGUAAAGCGCGCGCAGGCGGAUCUGCCAGUCUGUCUUAAAAGUUCGGGGCUUAACCCCGUGAUGGGAUGGAAACUACAGAUCUAGAGUAUCGGAGAGGAAAGUGGAAUUCCCAGUGUAGCGGUGAAAUGCGUAGAUAUUAGGAGGAACACCAGUGGCGAAGGCGAUCUGCUGGACAGCAACUGACGCUGAGGCGCGAAAGCGUGGGGAGCAAACAGGAUUAGAAACCCUUGUAGUCC
rnacentral:rRNA from 1 species